rnacentral:rRNA from 1 species
AAAGAGUUAAAUAAUUAUAAAAGUUAAUGUAGCAAAAUUAUUUUAAAUAUUUAUUUUGAAAUGAAAUGUUAUUCGUUUUUAAAUAUAUCUAGUUUUUUUAGAAAAAAAUUUAAUUUUAAAUUUAUUAUAAUAAUUUAAAUUAAAUAAUUAAUUUAAUUAUUUUUAAAUUUUAUAUUUUAAGGGAUAAGCUUUAAAUUAAAUAUUUAUAAUAAAUAUUUUUUUUUUUAUUUGAUAAUUUUAUGAUUUAUAUUGUUAAUAAAUUUUAAUUUAUUAUAAAUAAUUUCAAAUUUAAUAAAAUUUAAAAAUUUAUAUUUAAUUUUUUAUAAAAAUAAAUAAUUUUUAAUUAUUAAAAAUUAAUAAAAAUGAUAAAAUUAGUAUAUUUAUUUAUAAUAAAAUAAUUUAACUUUAAGUUAUUAAUAAUAAUUUAAUUAAUAAAAAGGAAUUCGGCAAAUAUUUAUUUUCACUUGUUUAUCAAAAACAUGUCUUUUUGUAGUUUAUUUAAAGUCUAAUCUGCCCACUGAUUUUAAUUAAAGGGCUGCAGUAUUUUGACUGUACAAAGGUAGCAUAAUCAUUAGUCUCUUAAUUGGUGACUUGUAUGAAAGAUUGAAUGAAAAAUAUACUGUCUCUUAAUUAAUUUAUAGAAUUUAAUUUUUUAUUUAAAAAGUUAAAAUUUAUUAAAAAGACGAGAAGACCCUAUAGAGUUUAAUAAAUAUUUUUAUUAAUAAAUUAUUUAUUAUAAUAGAAUUUUUAAUAAAUAUUUUAUUUUGUUGGGGUGAUAAAAAAAUAAAUAAAACUUUUUUUAAAAUUAAACAAAAAUAAUUGAAUAAAUGAUCCAAUUUUAUUGAUUAUAAGAUUAAAUUACCUUAGGGAUAACAGCGUAAUUUUUUUUUUUAGUUCAAAUAAGAAAAAAAGUUUGCGACCUCGAUGUUGGAUUAAGAUAAAAUUUAAAUGCAAAAGUUUAAAAUUUUUG